CAGUCUCUUCAGGUGGACCCUCCUCCCCGCCAAUCGCAGGCUCCUCCACCACUCACUCCUCACUGGCAUCAAUUGCUCUUUCCUCAGCAGCACCUACUGUCUCCUACACAUGAUCUGAAUGUUGAAAGUCCACAUAAUGGAGAAGUUGAAGGGCUGACCUUGGAGCAGGUGCCUGAAUGAGAUUCCCAGCUCAUCGACCAAACACCCAGGUGGCCUGGGAAAGCUACUUAGCCUCCCUGUGUCUCUGUACAAGCCCUGGCCUCAGCCAAGGUGCUCCCUGCAGGAGAUCCUCCCUGUCUGAUGUUCUCAUGGCCCCUGCCCAGCACCAUGAAGCACCCACAUGCCAGUGGUGGCUCAGCCUUGCCCACAUUAAUUGAUGCUUCCCACCAACCAGCUGAGUGUGUCAUCAAACCCUCCUGAGAGAAGUGCCCCCACACCAGGAGAAAAGGAGCCUCCUUCCGCCAAAGACAGGGCCUUGCAAAGGCUCCCCGAGUUCACUGUGCCAGCCUCGCUCCUUGGCCGGUCAUCCUCCAUGACUGUGCACUCCCCCAUCAAGCCAGCCUGAAAUACUAAGGUUUAACUGCUUCCUUGGGUCUUCGAUUCCUCAUGAAGUCUCCCAUGUCACAU